GUUCAACUAGCACAAAUCAACCCUUCAGGAGCGACGGUGGCAUUCAUGGCGAUGUAUAUAGCCACCCAUUGCAAACACAACCAAAUUGAAACAUCUCUCACCUUCAGGAGCGAUGCUGGCGUUCAUGGCGAGGUCCUGCUCCUUCGUGAGUCGUCCACGCCGGAGACCCGCGCACUGCUGCUUUCCUAGGCCCCUGUAAUCUUGGCACUUGAACCGAGCCCUGCAUCCGAUUGCCGAUGAAACGGACCCUUUUGGCUUCGCUGGUCCAAGCGACGCACCCCGUCCUCCUCCGGCAUCAGCUGCACUGAAGAAGAAAGCUUUGUUCCAUCUCCGGCCACCUCCUCCACGUAGCAAGUCCGGUCUUUCUCACCCACGGCCUUACCUACAAUCCUAUCUAACUCGAGCACUGUCGGCAAAUGCAGCAUUUGCCGAGAUACGAUGGUUCGUGCACAUCUCUCCCUCAUCGAUCUGGUUGAUUUUGAUUAGAAAUUCAGUUUCGUUUUUUACUGUCCUUGAAGGAAUAAACAGAUGAAACUCACCAUGUUCUACCUGCAAUUCCAGUCGUGCAUCUCUCUCUCUCUCUCACACAUUAGUAUGAAUCAUAUUGAUAUUUUUAUUGCUACUUAUGAUUGAUUUGCAGAAUUGAACAUAUGACAUAGUGCAGUUCAUCUCCAGUAUGUUCGUUCGUGACAGUACUAUUUCAGAGACAUUGUUGUUCUUCUACUGUAUGUGUUCAAAACCAAAGGUUUCGUUUGAUUGCUGCUCAGCAUCCGGAGGCUUGAGUAUUGCACCUAAAAGAAGGAGGCAAGGAGCUCUAAUUAUUAGUUCUCUGAUUUUUUCAUUGCAAAAAAAAGGAGCUCUAAUUAUUUUUUAUCUGAUAUUCUUUUUGCUUUGAGAUAAACGCUGGAAUAGUAACAGACUUUCAGUUUCAAGCAUGUCAAUGUAUAAAUGUAUAAUUACAAUCAAAGAAUCUUCUAUAAGGCUAAGCAUUUGGGAUAUUAUGUCUUCAAACCUAUAGCAUCUCUUGACAUGUAAGAAUAAUUCUUUUCUGUCAUUACAAUAUCACUAUAUAAUUGUUCUGGUUUGAUGA